GGUUAACGGGGAAUUAGGGUUCAAUUCCGGAGAGGGAGCCUGAGAAACGGCUACCACAUCUAAGGAAGGCAGCAGGCGCGCAAAUUACCCAAUUCUAACAGCAUAAGAGAGGUAGUGACAAGAAAUAACAGUACAAGGCAGUUAAAAUGCUUUGUAAUUGGAAUGAUAGAAAUUUAAAUACUUUUUAAAGUAUCAAUUGGAGGGCAAGUCUGGUGCCAGCAGCCGCGGUAAUUCCAGCUCCAAUAGCGUAUAUUAAAAUUGUUGCAGUUAAAAAGCUCGUAGUUGAAUUUUUGCUAAAAAUAACCGGUCUGCUUUUAUUAAUAAAAGUGGUAUCUUGGUGUGUUUUUAGCAAUAAUGUCCUUUGAAAUGUUUUUUACUUUAUUGUAAGAGGCAAUUUUCAGGAUUUUUACUUUGAGAAAAUUAGAGUGUUUCAAGCAGGCUAACGUUUUGAAUACUGCAGCAUGGAAUAAUAAAAUAGGAUUUUAGUUCUACGUUAUUGGUUUUAAGAACUAAAUUAAUGAUUGAUAGGAGCAGUUGGGGGCAUUUGUAUUUAACUGUCAGAGGUGA
rnacentral:rRNA from 1 species